ensembl:lncRNA
GAGGGAAGGAACAGCCGGGAAGAGGAGAGAACGUAGGUCUCUUUCUAAACAGGGAAGAGGAGAGAACAUGCGUUUCUUUAUAAACCCUUGGCUAUGAAAAGUUGACAGGACAGAAGACUCUGGCUGGAGUCAGGUUGCCAUUGACAGGAAGGUGCUGAAAGAGAAGGGGGUGUUGGAGACCUGAAGGAAACUCGACUGAUGGCGCUUAAGGAGGAGGGAGCGUGGAUCCAGAGGGAUGUGCGAAAGGAGUUGAAGGCAGAUAUGCAGGCAGAUAUGCAGACAGUCUCCACAGCCCAGAACAACGCUGGACAUCUCUGGGGCGUGUUGGACCAGGUACUGAUGCAGCUGGAGACACAGACUUAGGCUGGGGGCCAAGAAGCCCUUCCUGGCUGGAGUUUCCAACAGCGGGACUGGCCGUGGGACGCCGUGGGUUCAUGGUCCUUGGAGGUGAGGCACCAGAGCUGUGCAGGAGAUUCCAGCUUUUGCUGAGAAGGAGGCCAGGGACCAGGAUGAAGCCCCCCACCUCUCAGCCCAGAAGAGCCGUUCUGCUACCCGCUCUGGAGUGGGGACAGUCUACACGUGUACCUGCAGAUUCCAACUCACCAGACACAACUCAAUGGCAACACCGUCUUUAGGCGGUUACUUGGUGCCCGGCCCAGUGCCAGCAUUGCACAUCAGAGGUGGUACUGCCCCCAAAGUGCUCCCAGCCUACUGGCAAGAACAGAUGCACAAACAAGUAGAGAGGAGUGAAGCCACAAUCUGUGCCAUCCCUGGGGCAGAGGAGCAACUUAACUGCUGUGCUGUGAAGGACGAGCAAAUUCCAGGUGAACACGAUGGGGGAGGUCACCCCACAGGAAGACAGCUUGUGCAGAGGCACAGCAGGGAAAGAGCGGGUGGCCUUCAUGCUGGGGGUAGGGCUGAGGGUGGAGGAGCACCAUGGGAGGAGCGGAGAGAGCACACCAGGCCAGACUGCGCCAGCGCCCGGGGGCUGGGCGGCGACUCCAUCCUACAGGUGAUGGGGUGCGGCCACUUGUGAAAGGCAAGCCAUGUGGCAGACAUCUUCCCCAGAGCCCGCUGAGCCGUGUGCCCCUCUGUCUCCAUUUCUAAGGCCUCAAAAGAGAAUUCACGAUCUGACUCUCCCACAAACACACAGCAGAGGCGGCCAUUUUCCGGCUGCUGUGACGGCAGAUCAGUUUCACCUGUACUUGAACUUUGUCUGAAUGGAUCAUCCAGUAUAAACUCCUUUGUGUCUGGCAUCGUUGGCUCAAGGUGUCUAUGAUAUUCAUCCGUGGGUAGAGUCUUUUCAAGCUUUGUUUCAAACAUUGAGAGUUGGGGCACUGAACUCGCAGAGGCCCAGACUUACCAGUCUCUUACUCACCCACCACAGAAGUGGGGCCUCAGGAAAAGGAGCGUUUACCGUCUUCUUUUAGAAGCUUACCCCGAACAUAAGCCUCAAGGACCACGACGUGGAGCGAGACCCCCACCCGCACUGAGCAGCGAGUCUCACUGCAGUACCCAACUCGAGAGAAGCGAUUAAACCCAGGGUGGAUUUUCUAUGCCCAGUGGUUUUCCAUUUUGUGUUUUAAUUUUUACUUUAAGGACUUAAUUUUAACAAAAGAGCCAAAUUACCACCAUGCUUUAAAAUGAACUUGUCUACAGGAGUUAAAAACAGGCUUUAGACUGUGAAGCUUUAAUUAACUUUGGAAGAUGGUAAUUAAACAGCCCCUGUGCCCGUCUCAAGCUUUGCAAAGGCAAGGAAGGGAGGCCAGAGUCUGGAGUUCUCACCUGGGCAGAACACUGGAGGCCCCUGAGAAGCUUCCACGUUCCCCAUGCCCAGGCCACACCCUUGACCAAUGACGUCAGAACCUGUAGGGUUGGCAUGCAGACACUAGGAUAGUUUUUUAAGCUCUCAGGCCAUUCCAGCACGCAUCAGAGGUUGAGAAUCUCUAGACCGAUUGGCAGCUGUCGAUGGUGGUGGGCUGAGAGAUGGGGAAGAUGGAAAUGGGUGAGGCUGAGAGACACAGAGAGGUCUUCACACCAAGUUACAUCUCAGCUUUGGAAAAAACCAGGGGCCCACAACCAAGCCAGGUGGCACCAAGAGACAUUUCCAACCUCUAAGGAAGUUAUGGGCUGAACUUUGUUCCCCAAAAUUCAUGUGUUGAAGCCCCACCCUGGGUACCUCAGAAUGUGACUGUAUUUGGAGAUGGGCCCUUUAAAGAGGUGAUUUCGGUAGAAUGAGGCCGUUAGGAGGAACUUAAUGCAAUCUGACUGGUGUGCUUGUAGGAAGAGGAGAUUCAGGCAGACAGAGACACUGGGCGCAGGCACAGAGGGAAGGGCCUGUGGAGGGGAAGCGAGAGGCGGCCAUCUGCAGGCCCAGGAGAGAGGCCUCAGGAGAACCCACCCCAGCACCUUGAUCUUGGGCUUCCAGCCUCUGGGACGGUGAGAAAAUAAAGGCGUGCUGUUGAGCCCCCGUCCGGUGUUUGUGUGGCACCAGGAGCCGAAUAAGACAAGUUCCACUUCAGCUCUGUGGCCACGUGUGUGAAGAGUCCCCCAGGGGCCACUCUUCUGGUGCAGCGUCUCCACUCACAGGACUCUGCCCUAAGAGUUACCCAGGAACACCCUUAGAGAAUUAUCUACAGGACGUCCACAGAACAUUCUUUACAAUUGUGGAUAAGGGUGAUGUUCAACGACAGGAGACGGAGAGGUAAAUGAUAGUAAUCAAUUCCACCGGGCGUGAGGAAGCCAUUGAGUUAUCAAGAUUUUUAAAGCUGCACACUCAGCACGACCUCUCACCUGUGCAAAAGUGUGUGGAUCUUGAUCUUGAUGCCUCAUCCUGAGAUCUAACGCCGUCCCAGGACACCAGGCACGUGUCUACUUUCUUUGGCCCCCAGCUUCUAAGUCACCUAGGUAACCACCUCCCUCCCAACACACACAGCCCACAGAGAGUCUCCUUGCUUUCCAGUUUGUGCUUCAACCUUCCCAUCUGUAUCCUAAACCCACAUACAGAUGUAUAAAUAUGGAAAAGUGUAUUGAGCUCUAACGGCACUUUAGGCGAGUAAUACAUCAAUUUUAAAAAGUAUUUUAAAACGCAGUGUAAAAGCCUGGAGGUUGAUGUGGUGUGUACACAGAUGACUAAUACAGGGUCUGUGGAGCUGGGAGGGGCUGGGGCAGGAGGCUCAGUUCUGACUUGGGUUGGAAGCAUGGAAUCCGGGAAGGCUUCCCCUGAGAGGCGGCUCUUGAACUAAGGCUCCCAGGUGAAGGCAGAAUGACUGGUGGAGAAAGAGUGUCUCAGGCAUGCUCCUCCAAAGGCUCAGAGGCAGGCGGUGGCGGACGCAUCCAGGUGGAGAAGCUGGACAGCCCUGGCUCGGGCUGGGGCAUGCUGCAUGGUGGGAGAGGAUGGGGGGCACAGGAUGGGGCCACUGGGCUGCAGAUGGAGUUGUCUAUUGUCUUGGUUCCAGGAACCAUCCUAGCAUGGCGGGUCAAAGGCAGCCUGUGCUGUCGAUGACCUCAGAGCGGGGUCAGGUGGCCGUGCUAGCUGUGGGGUGCAGGGAAG